UACGUAGGGUGCAAGCGUUGUCCGGAAUUAUUGGGCGUAAAGGGCUCGUAGGCGGUCCAUCGCGUCGGGAGUGAAAAGCUGGGGCUUAACCCCAGUCCUGCUUCCGAUACGGGUGGACUAGAGGUAGGCAGGGGAGAACGGAAUUCCUGGUGUAGCGGUGAAAUGCGCAGAUAUCAGGAAGAACACCCGUGGCGAAGGCGGCUCUCUGGGACGGUACUGACGCUGAGACGCGAAAGCGUGGGGAGCGAACAGG
rnacentral:rRNA from 1 species